CCCUUAGAGUUUGAUCCUGGCUCAGGACGAACGCUGGCGGCGUGCCUAAUACAUGCAAGUCGGGCGAGCGGAACUAACAGAUUUACUUCGGUAAUGACGUUAGGAAAGCGAGCGGCGGAUGGGUGAGUAACACGUGGGGAACCUGCCCCAUAGUCUGGGAUACCACUUGGAAACAGGUGCUAAUACCGGAUAAGAAAGCAGAUCGCAUGAUCAGCUUUUAAAAGGCGGCGUAAGCUGUCGCUAUGGGAUGGCCCCGCGGUGCAUUAGCUAGUUGGUAAGGUAAAGGCUUACCAAGGCGAUGAUGCAUAGCCGAGUUGAGAGACUGAUCGGCCACAUUGGGACUGAGACACGGCCCAAACUCCUACGGGAGGCAGCAGUAGGGAAUCUUCCACAAUGGACGCAAGUCUGAUGGAGCAACGCCGCGUGAGUGAAGAAGGUUUUCGGAUCGUAAAGCUCUGUUGUUGGUGAAGAAGGAUAGAGGUAGUAACUGGCCUUUAUUUGACGGUAAUCAACCAGAAAGUCACGGCUAACUACGUGCCAGCAGCCGCGGUAAUACAUAGGUGGCAAGCGUUGUCCGAAUUUAUUGGGCGUAAAGCGAGCGCAGGCGGAAGAAUAAGUCUGAUGUGAAAGCCCUCGGCUUAACCGAGGAACUGCAUCGGAAACUGUUUUUCUUGAGUGCAGAAGAGGAGAGUGGAACUCCAUGUGUAGCGGUGGAAUGCGUAGAUAUAUGGAAGAACACCAGUGGCGAAGGCGGCUCUCUGGUCUGCAACUGACGCUGAGGCUCGAAAGCAUGGGUAGCGAACAGGAUUAGAUACCCUGGUAGUCCAUGCCGUAAACGAUGAGUGCUAAGUGUUGGGAGGUUUCCGCCUCUCAGUGCUGCAGCUAACGCAUUAAGCACUCCGCCUGGGGAGUACGACCGCAAGGUUGAAACUCAAAGGAAUUGACGGGGGCCCGCACAAGCGGUGGAGCAUGUGGUUUAAUUCGAAGCAACGCGAAGAACCUUACCAGGUCUUGACAUCUAGUGCCAUUUGUAGAGAUACAAAGUUCCCUUCGGGGACGCUAAGACAGGUGGUGCAUGGCUGUCGUCAGCUCGUGUCGUGAGAUGUUGGGUUAAGUCCCGCAACGAGCGCAACCCUUGUUAUUAGUUGCCAGCAUUAAGUUGGGCACUCUAAUGAGACUGCCGGUGACAAACCGGAGGAAGGUGGGGAUGACGUCAAGUCAUCAUGCCCCUUAUGACCUGGGCUACACACGUGCUACAAUGGGCAGUACAACGAGAAGCGAGCCUGCGAAGGCAAGCGGAUCUCUGAGAGCUGUUCUCAGUUCGGACUGCAGUCUGCAACUCGACUGCACGAAGCUGGAAUCGCUAGUAAUCGCGGAUCAGCACGCCGCGGUGAAUACGUUCCCGGGUCUUGUACACACCGCCCGUCACACCAUGGGAGUCUGCAAUGCCCAAAGCCGGUGGCCUAACCUUCGGGAAGGAGCCGUCUAAGGCAGGGCAGAUGACUGGGGUGAA
rnacentral:rRNA from 1 species